CCAUCUGAAAAACCCCACGUGUCAGGAAGUGAGGCGAGAACCCGUUCCUCCUGUUCUUUUGUGUUAUUGUGUCAUUUGCGUCAUUCCCUCUGUCUUCAGCCUGAUAUUCGCCGUCCGUCUUCCUCCAGGUAGCUAGAGAGGGUGUUACCUGUGGCCCGGUGCAUGAUGGGUAGUUUUGAACUCCCGACGUGCAGCACACAACGACACCGCUUGUUUCAGCGUGAACACAUUGUGUCAGCAAAGGAAACACCUCGAAAACCUUGAGACAGUAAAACGCUCUGUAUUCUGAGAACCUACGUUACAAAGGAGACACAGGGGAAAAAGUCUCAGCCUUGAAAUACAAUGGAGGAAAGUUAGACUACUUCAGAAAAUCUGAAACUCUUACUUUAGAACCAGACGCCAGCUCAUCUGAAACCUGAAUGUUGAACUUCGAGGUUGUCGCAGUGCUCCAGCAUAUCCGUUUGACCAGGCGGCACCCAAUGAUGACGACAGCAGCUCAAAUCGAGAGGUCGACCCGAGUCCAGACGGCUUAAGUGUGAAAAUUGAAAAAAAGUCAGCGAGGGAGGUGAACUCAAAUCCCUUCAGCAAACAGCAAAAAGGAAAAGGAGCGGAAAUGCGCCACAGGAAGUUGGGAAACAGAAGUCAACAAAACACAGAGGCCGUCUUUGUCCGUCCCGAUGCUGGCACAGCGUGUGGGCCUGAGCACCAGCACCAGUUACCCCCACACACUGGGAUCGCUUUAAAACGGGAAAUCACCUACAAGGAGAACUGUCCUUAAAAGACAAGCUUAGAAAUAUAGGAUCCGAUUCCCUAAAAAUACUGUUAAAUCCAAACAUCUUGGCAUUCGACUUUCACAUUACAGUUAACAGUCCAUUUCUCUGUCUUCUUUGCUCUCUCCUUUGUCCGUUACUACCAGUCUGUGAUAACAUGUCUCUGGACAUGAAACUGGCAGCUUUCGCUUCCCACACAAUUCCUGGAAACAGCUUCCGCCUAAAAAGUUUGAUCUGCAGCUGAAUUUGAGAUGUUGUUGAAAUGUUAAUGCCCAAAUUCCUUGGGCUUUGUGGAAGCUAUAGGGACUGAUUCUAAAAUAGUGUGGUCACUCUACCAUAUGUCUGAAACCAUAUGUCUGCAAAAGCUGAAACAAGUGUAACGUAAGACAGUGUGAACCUAGGGAGCACGUUCCAGCAUGUAACUCGUAGCGUUUUCUGAAAAAAACAUUGUGAAAUAGCAAAAUAAACAUAACUGAUUGAAUUCUCAUUCAUAUAAUAACAGAACAACAUUUUUAUCUCCAA